GACGAACGCUGGCGGCGUGCCUAAUACAUGCAAGUCGAGCGAGACUCUUCGGAGUCUAGCGGCGGACGGGUGAGUAACACGUGGGCAACCUGCCUGUAAGACUGGGAUAACACCGGGAAACCGGUGCUAAUACCGGAUAAUUCUUUUCCUCUCAUGAGGAAAAGCUGAAAGUCGGUUUCGGCUGACACCUACAGAUGGGCCCGCGGCGCAUUAGCUAGUUGGUGAGGUAACGGCUCACCAAGGCGACGAUGCGUAGCCGACCUGAGAGGGUGAUCGGCCACACUGGGACUGAGACACGGCCCAGACUCCUACGGGAGGCAGCAGUAGGGAAUCUUCCACAAUGGACGAAAGUCUGAUGGAGCAACGCCGCGUGAGCGAUGAAGGCCUUCGGGUCGUAAGGCUCUGUUGUUAGGGAAGAACAAGUAUCGGAGUAACUGCCGGUACCUUGACGGUACCUAACCAGAAAGCCACGGCUAACUACGUGCCAGCAGCCGCAGUAACAC
rnacentral:rRNA from 1 species